UACGGGGGGGAGCAAGCGUUGUUCGGAUUUACUGGGCGUAAAGAGCGCGCAGGCGGUCGAUCAAGUCGAGUGUGAAAGCCCCCGGCUCAACUGGGGAGGGUCAUUCGAUACUGAUCGACUCGAAGGCAGGAGAGGGUAGUGGAAUUCCCGGUGUAGUGGUGAAAUUCGUAGAUAUUCGGAAGAACACCAGUGGCGAAGGCGACUCACUGGACACAUAUUGACGCUGAGGUGCGAAAAGCGUGGGGAGCAAACAGG
rnacentral:rRNA from 1 species